UUUCCUGUGGCUCAGUUGGUAGAGCAUUGCGCCAACAACUCCAAAGUCAUGCGUUUAAAUCCCAGGAAAA